CUGAAAAGGAGGGAUGGAUAGAAAACUCAGAAACGCAGGCCCAAGCCCUAGCGAGCGAACAAAUAUAGAGAUCGAAGAAGAAGAGAACAAAAACUACUAAGCUCCGAUCAUGGCGUUCACUUCACGUCUUCUAUCCAGAUCCAAACAGCUGUAUGGCAGUCAAGUCAUUCUGCAACAGGAGCAUGUUAUUCCAGUCCGUUAUUUUGCCAAAAAAUCUGAACCUCCAGCUCUUUCAGCUCUCAAGGGAGAUGAGAUGCUAAAGAACAUCUUUCUGGAUGUCAAGAAGAAAUUUGAGACAGCCAUCGCAAUACUUAGGAAGGAGAAGAUCACCAUAGAUCCUAAUGAUCCAGCUGCUGUGAAUCAAUAUGCGAAGGUCAUGAAGACAAUUAGAGAGAAGGCUGAUUUGUUCUCUGAGUCACAGAG
rnacentral:misc_RNA from 1 species